rnacentral:RNase_P_RNA from 1 species
GAGGAAAGUCCGGGCUCCAUGAAGCAAGGGUGCCGGGUAAUGCCCGGCCGGGGAAACCCGAGGGAAAGCGCCACAGAGAAGAGUCUGCCCCGAGCUUCGGGGUGAUGGUGAAACGGUGGGGUAAGAGCCCACCGCGGACCGGGCAACCGGGACGGCACGGCAAGCCCCACCCGGAGCAAUGCCGAAUAGGGGCCCCGCGCGGGCUGGUCCCGGACUACGGUCCGCGAUACCGCCGCAGGGAUGCUUCAGCCCAGGGGCCCGGGUUGGCAGCUUGAGCCCGUCGGUAACGGCGGGCCUAGAGGAAUGGUCAUCCAGGGGGCGCAAGCCCCCGGACAGAAUCCGGCUUA